rnacentral:rRNA from 1 species
GACGAACGCUGGCGGCGUGCUUAACACAUGCAAGUCGAACGGAAAGGCCCCUUUGGGGGUACUCGAGUGGCGCACGGGUGAGUAACACGUGCGUAACCUGCCCUUGACUUCGGGAUAACUUCAGGAAACUGGGGCUAAUACCGGAUAGGAAUCCUUGCUGCAUGGUGGGGGUUGGAAAGCUUCGGCGGUUUUGGGUGGACUCGCGGCCUAUUAGCUUGUUGGUGGGGUAGUGGCUUACCAAGGCUUUGACGGGUAGCCGGCCUGAGGGGGCGACCGGCCACAUUGGGACUGAGAUACGGCCCAGACUCCUACGGGAGGCAGCAGUGGGGAAUAUUGCACAAUGGGCGGGAGCCUGAUGCAGCAACGCCGCGUGCGGGAUGACGGCCUUCGGGUUGUAAACCGCUUUCAGCAGGGGCGAAGCUUGUGGUGACGGUACCUGCAGAAGAAGCACCGGCUAACUACGUG